CUUUCUCCAGUUGUCGGUAGGUCUACUCUAGAACUUUCUCCAGCUGUCGGUAGGUCUACUCUACAACUUUCUCCAGUUGUCGGUAGGUCUACUCUAGAACUUUCUCCAGGUGUCGGUAGGUCUACUCUAGAACUUUCUCCAGGUGUCGGUAGGUCUACUCUAGAAAUUUCUCCAGGUGUCGGUAGGUCUACUCUAGAACUUUCUCCAGGUGUCGGUAGGUCUACUCUAGAACUUUCUCCAGGGGACGCUCU